rnacentral:sRNA from 1 species
CGCAUGGUGUAACGGCUACACUUUUGCCUAUCACCCACAGCUCCGGGGUUCGA